UACGUAGGGUGUAGGCGUUGUCCGGAAUUAUUGGGCGUAAAGAGCUCGUAGGCGGUCUGUCGCGUCUGCUGUGAAAACUCGGGGCUUAACCCCGGGCCUGCAGUGGGUACGGGCAGACUAGAGUGCGGUAGGGGAGACUGGAAUUCCUGGUGUAGCGGUGAAAUGCGCAGAUAUCAGGAAGAACACCCGUGGCGAAAGCGGCUCUCUGGAACGGUACUGACGCUGAGACGCGAAAGCGUGGGGAGCGAACAGG
rnacentral:rRNA from 1 species